CCUACGGGAGGCAGCAGUGAGGAAUAUUGGUCAAUGGGCGCGAGCCUGAACCAGCCAAGUAGCGUGAAGGAUGACUGCCCUACGGGCUGUAAACUUCUUCUAUAAAGGAAUAAAGUGAGGCACGUGUGCCUUUUGUAUGUACUUUAUGAAUAAGGACCGGCUAACUCCGUGCCAGCAGCCGCGGUAAUACGGGGGAUCCGAGCGUUAUCCGGAUUUAUUGGGUGUAAAGGGAGCGUAGAUGGGUUGUUAAGUCAGUUGUGAAAGUUUGCGGCUCAACCGUGAAAUUGCAAUUGAUACUGGCAGUCUUGAGUACAGGUGAGGUAGGCGGAAUUCGUAGUGUAGCGGUGAAAUGCUUAGAUAUCAGGAGGAACACCGAUUGCGAAGGCAGCUUGCUAAACUGCCACUGACAUUGAUGCUCGAAGGUGUGGGUAUCAAACAGGAUUAGAUACCCGGGUAGUC
rnacentral:rRNA from 1 species